AUUGAACGCUGGCGGCAGGCCUAACACAUGCAAGUCGAGCGGCAGCGGGACCUUCGGGUUGCCGGCGAGCGGCGGACGGGUGAGUAAUGCCUAGGAAUCUGCCUGUUAGUGGGGGAUAACGCGGGGAAACUCGCGCUAAUACCGCGUACGUCCUACGGGAGAAAGCGGGGGCUCUUCGGACCUCGCGCUAAUAGAUUAGCCUAGGUGGGAUUAGCUAGUAGGUGGGGUAAUGGCCCACCAAGGCGACGAUCCGUAACUGGUCUGAGAGGAUGAUCAGUCACACUGGAACUGAGACACGGUCCAGACUCCUACGGGAGGCAGCAGUGGGGAAUAUUGGACAAUGGGCGAAAGCCUGAUCCAGCCAUGCCGCGUAUGUGAAGAAGGUCUUCGGAUUGUAAAGCACUUUAAGUCGGGAGGAAGGACUGUAGGCUAAUACCUUGCAGUUUUGACGUUACCGACAGAAUAAGCACCGGCUAACUUCGUGCCAGCAGCCGCGGUAAUAC
rnacentral:rRNA from 1 species